CUUAUAAGACCCCCCCCACCCCCCUUAAGUGGUCCCUUCCUAGAUGGUGGAAAUGUCUUAAUUUACAGAUAGAAGUUUCUCAGUGUUUUUCUAUGUGACUCUUGUUGAUUGCUAGACUAGAACCUAACACAAGUUGCUAUUGCAUUAAAUGUAUUUAGCCCUUUUUAGUUCUUAAUAGUAGCUAGCCCAGAGGACUAGAUGCUUUCUCACCAGUUUUUGCGAAGAUGCUAUUGCACUGGGGAUAAUUCAAAUCCUUCUAAGUGGUGUCCUGCUAGUCUCAGGACUGCCGGGCUAACGUUUGUUGGUGAGGCAUUGUGGAUCUGAUUGCCAAAAGCUGAGUUAGUAGCCAGUUUGGGUCAGUUUAGAGCUGUCUGUCUAACAUCUGAAAGGACUGAGUACUCCUCAGAUAAAGCAGAGGACCCUCCUUCAGAAUUCUCUCAGAGCUACAGCUGCUGUCAGAUACUUCUGAUCCCAGAGGCAGGCAGACCUCUGAGACCUGGUCUAGAAAGUGAGUUCCAGGACAGGCUACACAGAGAAACUCUGUCUUGAAAAAAGGUGGGGGGAGGGGAGGAGGAGGGUGGGGAGGAGGAGGGGUUUGGGAUUUAGCUCAGUGGUAGAGCGCUUGCCUAGCAAGCACAAGGCCCUGGGUUUGGUCCUCAGCUCUGGAAAAAAAAAGACAAAAUAACAGCAGCAGGAGGAGGAGGAGGAGAAGAAGAAGCAAUGAAAGAAAAAGAAUUCUUUUCAGAGGUUUGAUGGGGUGCAGGAUUAGAGGACUGCAGCCAUGCCUCAGGCUGGUGGGUUAUUUUCUUCUCUUCGUCCAAACUUGAGCUGUCUCAAACUAGAGAGCUCAAGAGAUCCCCUCCCUCAGGCUCUCUAAUAACUGACUAUAGGCCUGGGCCACCUCAUCAGUUUAAUGGAGACCAUGUAACACUCAGUAUGGGCAGCUCUUUAGGGCUACAUGUGGCAAGUGACCACUUGGUUGUCAGUAAUCCAGACUGAGCAUUAUACACUGUAUUUCAAAGUCAACACAGGAAAAGCAGAAAUCAUUUUAAAAUACUGAUUGAAGUUGGGUUGAAGAGAUGACUCAGCAUUUGUGAGCACUUCCUGCUCUUGCAGAAGAUUGAGGUUUGGUUCCCACCACCCACACGGCAGCUUACAGUCUUCUGUAACCAGUUCCAGAGGAUUGGUUCCACUCUUCUGUUUCCCAGUGGUGCUGCACACAUAUGGUACACAUGUGUACAUUUUGGCGAAAACUCAUACACAUAAAAUUAAAAUUUGAAAUGGUGGUUAGAGUUUAAAUAUUUUUAAUAUAUUGGAUUGUGUCUCCACGUGUGUCCCUUAUCUAGCUUGUGUGCCUGGGACCCCCUGAGCACAAACCCUAGUCCUCCCACACAGCCCCAUUUCUACUGACAAGAUGAAACAAUCUUGAACCAGGAAAAACUUGCCAAACUGCAGGCCCACGUUUGCAUUGUUGGGAAAGGUACCUCCCACAGAAAAAGUGGUUCACAGAGCAGCCAGAGCAGAUGGUAAAACUACAGUUCUCCUUAGAGAGGUUAGUAAACAGCGACUCUGCUACUGAAGAGGUGAACAUGAUUACAAACCAAGGAAUUGAUCCAUUUUAACAACCCUGAAGUUCAGGCGUCGCUGGCAGCAAACCUUCACCAUUAACAGGUCACAGGAGACAAAGCAGCUGACAGAAAUGCUUCCCGGCAUCCUAAACCAGUUUGGUGCAGACAGUCUGACUAGUUUAAGGAGGCUGGCUGCAGCUGCCCAAACAAUCUGGAUGGAAAAGCACCGUUCACUACUGAAGAGAUGAAGUUCCAGGUCUGGUGGGGAAUUUUGAUGAAGCGUCUAAGAGCGAGGCAAACUGAAUGGAGGUGGCUUCUGAAGACGAUGACCCUUGCGGAAGUCACAGAACCUGCUAUUUUAUACCAUGGCUGCUUUCAAAAUUGUUUUGUUUGUGGAUCUGAUAAAAUCUAGAUCUCUAGCCGGGGGUGAUGACACAGCUUUAAAAUAGCAAUUGGGAGUGAGAGGCAGGUGGAUCUCUGUGAAUUUGGGCCAGCCUUGUCUACAAAGUGAGUUCCAGGAUAGCCAGGGCUGUUACACAGAGAAACCCUGUCUCCACAAAACAAAAAUCUAGAAGUGUUAUAUGUUUAAUGCCCAGCCCCCGGACACCGGAGCUCUUUUCAGUUUUUCUUUUUUUGUUUGUUUUGUUUGUUUUGUUUUGUUUGCGUUUUGCCUAUACACAGUUCAUUCCUUGUGACAGAAUAAGCUGGAGAGGCCUGGGAGUAAAGUUUGAAAUGUGUUAAUAAAAUUCUCUGCAUAGUAAAAAAUACCUUUCCAAUGUGGCUAUUAGAAAGUUUUUUGCUCUAGAAUACACAACGAGGCAGCCAUUAGUGACGCGUAACUGACCUUAGACUGGGGAUCCAGGUUAAGAUAAAGGAGCAGUGAUGGGGUGAAGAGCACUGGGUGUGGUGGUUUGAAGAGAAAUGGCCCUCCAUAGACUCCUGUUUGAAAGUUUGGCCCAUAGGGAGUGGCACUAUGAGGAGGUGUGCCCUUCUUGGAUUAGUGUGCCCUUGGAGGAAGUGUCUCUGAGAGAGGGCUUUGAGAUCUCAUAUGCUCAAGCUACAUACAGUGUGGCUUACAGUCUCCUACUGCCUUUUGGGUCGGGUCCUUCUCCAGCAUCAUGUCUGCCUGCACACUCCCAUGCUUCCUGCCACGAUGAUAACUGACUGAACCACAGAACCUAUAAGCCAGCCCCAAUUAAAUGUUGUCCUUAUAAGAGUUGCUGUGGUCCUGGUGUCUCUUCACAUCAAUAAAACCCAAACUUAGAUAUUGGGACAGGUAGAGCUGAGGGCUUGAGAGAAGUGUAUCUGCCAAAAAUGAAUAUAAUUUCAGCUGACUUUAAUUAAAGCUUUACUUCUCUUUCUCUGCCCAACUUAUACAUGUAUGAGUCUUUCUUGUAGAUCAGGGAUGUUUAAUGCCAGAAAGCCUUCCUUUACAAGUGUUCAUGUCUGUGGCUUUGCAGAUCUCUUUUCUAACUUUAUUAUGGUAAAUGUUCCCGUUCCCUUCCAAUAUCUUGUGGGCAUCUUGAGCAGAGAACCUUUGUUUUAAUAUCUUUGGACCUGGUGACUGAUAUCCAAACACUAAUGUGGGGAACAGGGAAAAAGAAAAGGGGAGGGAAAUAAAUUCAUUUAGUUGUCUCAGGAAUAGCAGGUACUUAGUCUGCUUCAUUUCUUUCUAACCCUGAGAGAUGAGGUUGAGAGCCCAAAGUGCGAAGGGCAGAUGUGAGGAACUGAGGUAGGUGAGGAAAGACUCUGACCAGGAUCGCUUUGGAGCCAUUUUGUUUAUACUCUGGCAUUCACCCGACCAUCCACCUCCUCCUGCCCUUCUGGCUUCCCUAUGAGUAGGCUUUCCUAUUUUGUACUUCUUUCGCCAUGUUAGGAAUUGAGCCCAGAGCUCACAUGUGCUAAGCAACCUUUUUCCCUCUAAGUUACAUCCUCAGCCCCUACUCCAUUCCUCUUGAUCAAGGGUACUCUAUCAACAGAUCUGAGCUCUCAUUUCUUGGUAAAGCCUGAAAAAUUCCCUUGUGGGCAACAGUUAGGAAGGCAAGAGGCACCAUCUCCAAAUGUAAAGAAGGCAGAAUUAGAACUUUAUCAUGUGUACCUAUCAGUUUGCCCUUCUUAUUUAGUCUCUUUAAGAUGAGGUUUUCUGUACUCUGUGAAACGGCAUAGCAUGCCUUACCAUACAUGCUAUCACCAACUAGUGCCCACCAUAGGACCUAGGCCUCGUGGCGCUAGAAUAUCAUUCCUGUUCUGAGAGCUGUUGGUGCCAUUACAGCUGCUAAAUUCUUGGGUUCCUAAAAUAACAAAACAGUUGCAAGUGUUUGGUGCAAGGGCAGCCAAUGCUGUCCCCAUCCCCAGCCAUUGUUAUCUUGAAAUCAGCAGCUGUGACAACCUGCUCCAGAUCUUCCCAAGAGGAUCUCACCUUAGAGUUUACCCAGACUCCUGUCCCCUCCCUGCUGCCAGUGGCACAAACCCUGUCCCAGAUGAUGUAGUUUUGGGGGCACAGUGCUAGUAAUAGGUGUUUCUGAGAGCUUCCCAGGAAAAGUUGCACAUUAAAUUUUAAUCAUGUAGUAAUAUGAAAUUUAUAAUGAAAAGUAGCAGAGCCCAUAUGUAUAGUGCAGUUUUUGUUCUGGAAUAAUUUACUGCAUCGUCCUCAUUUCUCCUCUUUUUGUUUCUGGUGAUCAAAUAGAGGGUUUUGCCCAUGCUGGUCACUCCACCACUGAGUUACAUCCCCCAGCACUGGUCUCCCCAUUCUGUGUGUGUGUGUGUGUGUGUGUGUGUGUGUGUGUGUGUGUGUGUGCGUGUGUAUGCACAGGUGCACAUGUAUGUGCAGGUUCCAAUAAAAGCCCAAAGAGAGCAUGUGGUCUGGAUCUGCAGUUGUAAAUGAUUGUAAGAUGACUGGUGUGGGUGCUGGGAGCCAGACUGUGAGAGCUCUUAACUGCUGAAUCAUCUCUCCAGCCUCCCUCCUGACCCUUUUCUGAGACAGUCUUCCCAUGUUGCCUAGGCUGGCUUUGAAUUCACAGUCCUCUGCCUUAGUCUCCUAAACCCUGGAAUUGGCACCACCACAUCUGGCUUUCUUGGCUUUCUAGUCCUGAUAUUCUAGAUUUUUAUGACAUUAAAAGGUCUCUGAGGAAACAGGUACUUGUUUUUCUCUUUUCUUUUUAUUUGUUUGUUUACUUGGUUGGUUGGUUGGUUUUGUCUUUCCAGAGAGACUUUCUUUGGCUCUCCUGUAGCCACUCUAUGGACCAGGCUGGCCUGGAAUUCAGAGAUCUGACUGUCACUGCCUCUGCUUCCUGAGUGCUGAGAUUAAAGGUGUGCACCACCUCCCAGCAACAGGUAAGAUUAAAAACAAUUGUAUAGAUUUUCUGGAGGUGGUUAUGAAUAUUGAUUCUGUUAUUCAUUGUUAAAGAGCCUGGCCUGGCAAACAUUUGACAUUUUUCAUAAUUAGAAUAACUUAAGAAGCAUAAGAAGAUGUCUGAGAUGGAACGGCAGUACCUCCUGAGAAACAAGUGAGAGCCACUCAGGAGUGGAAGCAUGCUGCUUGCAGUCUUCUUUAUGUUUAAGUAGUAAAGAUACAUACAAAAUAAAGGUGAAAAAUUCAAAGUAUGUAUCCUUAAAAGACUACAAAGCCAUGUUCGAGGAGACUCACCAAUCUGUUCAAAGACGUUAAGAGGAGCUGAAGCAGUCGCAGCAGUUGAGAAGCUGAAACACACAGCCUUGCAUUUGGAGGCCCUAAGCAGAAAUGCUGACACACUUAGGCCGUGUCCUGGUUCCUCAGCUUCAGAGACUCAGACAAGCACACGGAGAACAAUCCCACUUUAUUAAUACAUCAGUGUCACAGAUGUGCCCAGUACAGCCAGAGUCCUGAGCAGAUAAAGUGCUACUGCAGGGACCUGGCAACAGGAGGAGGGAGCCAGUUCAUCUCCUCCAAGUCCCCAGCCUGAACGGUAUUUCUACUACACAAAAGUAAGGGCAGCUAGUAAUCCAGUCUAUAGAUACUCUGAGCUAAGAACAGAAAACCAUACUAGUGGGCUGUGUGCAGAGCAAGAAAAAAGGGAAGUCAGAAGGUAUCCAUCCCUUCCUCAAAUGGAACAUAGAGAUACCAAACAAUUGUCUUCAACUUCCUGGAUGUGGUGUCUAUUAAGGAAUGAGCCAGGUCUGCUACUCCUUCCCAGGGACUCAGAACCAUGAUGUAGACACUUUCUUACACCUAAGAAAAAGUACCAUUUUCUAACUAUGAAAAACUUACUGACCUUACUUCGCCAGCCCCCCAAAAGCAAGAGUAAUAAACUUGGCAGCAUUUAAGAAGCAUCAGUGACCAGGCAGAGGCAGGUGGAUUUCUGUGAGUUCAAAGCUAGCCUCAUCUACAUACUGAGUUUCAGGCCAGCCUAGCCUACAUAAUAAGAUCCUGUCUCAAAAACAAAACAAAAAAGCACUAAUAAACCCAAGACUUCCUAUAAUUAUCUCUAUUAUGGUAUCUCUAUUAUGCCUAGGCAUUAAAAUAAUUCGGUUAGAAAACUCAGAUGUUGUGAAUGAACUGAGUGAACUAUGACACGGAGUCCAGUUCACCCGUUGUUUCUAUUCCUAGAAAACAACUGACUGAUGAUUUCCAGAGACAAGAAGGAAGAGUAAAGGCCAUCUGUUCACGCUGGUGCCAUACAGUGCUGAGCUGCAAAGGGCCAAAUCAGUGCCUCUUUCAAGAACCUGAGAAUUCCUGACCUUACUGGCCCUCAGGAAAUCCAGAGACACUAGAAGGAGCCAGUAGUUUGCUUCCUUUGCAACCAAGAGUCCAGGCUUGAGGUAGAGCUCUCAAGUAGGGAAAUGAGGGUGACAUCUCCAGUCUGUCCUAAGAGAAGAGCUGGCGGAUGUGAUGCUGUAAUGAUCGAAAGUGCAGGGGCCUCAGGGAAGGAGCGUGUUCCUCCCACAUAAGGGGGCUCUCAUGGCCAGGCUGAAGGUUGGGACACUAGGAAAGACAAGAUUCGAAGUUCUCAAACUGCUCUGAGCCAAGGGUAAUCUUGAAGGAUUACUUAUACUUAGCUAUUUUUCUGACUUAGUCAAAUAUUUCUAUAACCGAAAUGAAGAGAAGAUUCCAUUGCAGGCACCUCUGUGUCUGAGAUGACACAAUAGCAAAAAAAAAAAAAAAAGCAGUUAUAAAGGUUAUUCUCAUUUGUUUAUUUUUAUCUUUGUCUCUUAAGACUAUCCCUGACUGACCUGGAACUGAAUAUGUAGACCAAGCUGGUCUCAUACGCAUAUCUGCCCACCUCUCUCUGCCUCUGUCUUCUGGGUGCUGGUAUUAAAGGCACAUGCCACAGCCAGCUGUUACUGGCUCUUAAUGCUGUCAGCUAGCUUUCUUCUUUCCUUGUACUGAGGGCUUGCCCAUCCUCACUUCCCUGCCCG